CAGAGAUUAGUCUAGUAAGACCCCUAAUUUCGACUUAGGAAACCUUGAUUAACCCAAGAUCUCUAU
rnacentral:tRNA from 1 species